AUAAAUGACAUUUUGAUGUUUGAAAGUCUCUAGGUUUUGAAAUAAUGUAAUUUAAAAAAUAUAUAUAUAUAUUCUGUAGCCUAUUUGGCCGUCAAUACUGCCGGCGUUUUCUUUGCUGUAAUCAAAUCAGUAUAUAUAUAUAU